GAAAAAUUUGGACUUCCAGAGCCUCGGGGUUCGUGGAUUGGAGGAGUUGUUUGACAAAGUAAACGACGUAGUGGUCUUGCAUGAAGAUCCAGCAAGCAAGCGAAAGUUCCUGGCUGCAUUUGGUGGCUGAAAUGGUGAUGAAGAUGGUCAGAUAGCUGCCUUUGUAACCAUUCUAUGUCAUUAACUUGUCAAAUACCCACAAAAGAAAUAAGAAAAAG
rnacentral:misc_RNA from 1 species